rnacentral:misc_RNA from 1 species
GACAGAAGGUGCAAGCGUUACUCGGAAUUACUGGGCGUAAAGCGUCUGCAGGCUUCCAACCACGUCUGACAGCAAAUUGCGGGGCUCAACCCCGCACCCCUGUUGGAAACGAGUAGGAUAGAGUCAUUCAGAGGCAUCUGGAAUGUCAUGUGUAGGGGUAAAAUCCGUAGAUACAUGAUGGAACGCCAAAAGCGAAGGCAGGAUGCUAGGAAUGUACUGACGCUCAGAGACGAAAGCGUGGGGAGCAAAGGGG